AAACGACUCUCGGCAACGGAUAUCCCGGCUCUCGCAUCGAUGAAGAACGUAGCGAAAUGCGAUACUUGGUGUGAAUUGCAGAAUCCCGUGAACCAUCGAGUCUUUGAACGCAAGUUGCGCCCGAAGCCAUUAGGCUGAGGGCNCGUCUGCCUGGGUGUCACGC
rnacentral:rRNA from 1 species